UGGGGGAUAUUGCACAAUGGGCGAAAGCCUGAUGCAGCGACGCCGCGUGGGGGAUGAAGGCUUUCGGGUUGUAAACCUCUUUCGCUAUCGAACAAGGCCCGCUUAGGGUGGGUUGAGGGUAGGUGGAGAAGAAGCGCCGGCUAACUACGUGCCAGCAGCCGCGGUAAUACGUAGGGCGCGAGCGUUGUCCGGAAUUAUUGGGCGUAAAGGGCUUGUAGGCGGCUUGUUGCGCCUGCUGUGAAAACGCGGGGCUCAACUUCGCGCGUGCAGUGGGUACGGGCAGGCUUGAGUGUGGUAGGGGUGACUGGAAUUCCAGGUGUAGCGGUGGAAUGCGCAGAUAUCUGGAGGAACACCGAUGGCGAAGGCAGGUCACUGGGCCAUUACUGACGCUGAGGAGCGAAAGCAUGGGUAGCGAACAGG
rnacentral:rRNA from 1 species